CCUACGGGUGGCAGCAGUGAGGAAUAUUGGUCAAUGGACGCGAGUCUGAACCAGCCAAGUAGCGUGCAGGAUGACGGCCCUAUGGGUUGUAAACUUCUUUUAUAAGGGAAUAAAAGCAGGCACGUGUGCCUUUUUGCAUGUAUUUUAUGAAUAAGAAUCGGCUAACUCCGUGCCAGCAGCCGCGGUAAUACGGAGGAUGCGAGCGUUAUCCGGAUUUAUUGGGGUUAAAGGGGGCGUAGAUGGGUUGUUAAGUCAGUGGUGAAAGUUUGCGGCUCAACCGUGGAAUUGCAGUUGAUACUGGCAGUCUUGAGUGCAGUUGGGGUAGGCGGAAUUCGUGGUGUAGCGGUGAAAUGCUUAGAGAUCACGAAGAACCCCGAUUGCGAAGGCAGCUUACCAAGCUGCUACUGACGUUGAGGCUCGAAAGUGUGGGUAUCAAACAGGAUUAGAUACCCCAGUAGUC
rnacentral:rRNA from 1 species